rnacentral:rRNA from 1 species
UGGGGAAUCUUGCGCAAUGGGCGAAAGCCUGACGCAGCAACGCCGCGUGCGGGAUGAAGGCCUUCGGGCUGUAAACCGCUUUCAGCAGGAACGAAAAUGACGGUACCUGCAGAAGAAGGAGCGGCCAACUACGUGCCAGCAGCCGCGGUGACACGUAGGCUCCAAGCGUUGUCCGGAUUUAUUGGGCGUAAAGAGCUCGUAGGCGGUUUAGUAAGUCGGGUGUUAAAACUCUGGGCUCAACCCGGAGAGGCCAUCCGAUACUGCUGUGACUUGAGUUCAGGAGGGGAGCGGGGAAUUCCUAGUGUAGCGGUGAAAUGCGCAGAUAUUAGGAGGAACACCGGUGGCGAAGGCGCCGCUCUGGACUGAAACUGACGCUGAGGAGCGAAAGCAUGGGUAGCAAACAGGAUUAGAUACCCUGGUAGUCCAUGCCGUAAACGGUGGGCACUAGGUGUGGGUUCCAACUAACGGGAUCCGCGCCGUCGCUAACGCAUUAAGUGCCCCGCCUGGGGAGUACGGUCGCAAGACUAAAACUCAAAGGAAUUGACGG